rnacentral:rRNA from 1 species
UCUACGGGUGUCAGCAGUGAGGAAUAUUGGUCAAUGGUCGGGAGACUGAACCAGCCAAGCCGCGUGAGGGAUGAAGGUACAGAGUAUCGUAAACCUCUUUUGUCAGGGAACAAAGGCGGGGACGUGUCCCCGGCUGAGUGUACCUGAAGAAAAAGCAUCGGCUAACUCGGUGCUAGCAGCCGCGGUAAUACGGAGGAUGCGAGCGUUAUCCGGAUUUAUUGGGUUUACAGGGUGUGCAGGCGGUCUGUUAACUAAGCGGUCAAAGCCCGGGGCUCAACCCCGGCCCGCCGUUGAAACUGGCAGUAUCGAGAUGGAGAGAAGUAUGCGGAAUGCGAGGUGUAGCGGUGAAAGGCAUAGAUAGCGCGCAGAACUCGGAUUGAGAAGGAAGCAUGCCGGCUCCACACUGACGCUGAGGCACGAAAGCGUGGGUAUCGAACAGGAUUAGAUACCCCAGUAGUC